ACCCAGCCUUGGAUCCUCUCUCUGCAAAAUGUACAAACAAUGUGUUCAGCUAAAACAGGAAUGCAAUGUGCUCACGAAGCCUUGAAACUGAGCCUGAAACUGGAAAUUGUAGACUACAUUUAGAAAGACCUUUAUUCCAAACUGUGGAGAGAAUCUUGAGGAGACCUGGAAUUCCCCAUCGGCAUCACGUGGUCAGUCAGCCACCACGUGCUUUCUGGUGAAAGAGAACACAGGCCGCGUUUCCUCAUCACGCAAUCUCGCCAACUGAGGGAUUAAUCCGGAGAAUGUCCACUGAACUUCCUCUGUGAUGCUUGGAUCACUACCGUUCAUCUAUAGUGCUUGGAUCCAGACUAUGCAGAAUGCACUUCGUAAUAGAACACAGUCAUUGACAGUGCAACUAAUACUUCUAUUAGUGGUUUAUUUCUGAAGAUUUUGGUAUGAAGUACAUCUGGUUUGUCAAGUUAGCAAAGCUCAUUCCAGCUGUAUGUUCAA